rnacentral:sRNA from 1 species
CGUGCGGCUGCCGGAGUUCUGGGAAGUUGUGGCUGUCGAGAAUGGGGGUCUGUGGGUACCUGUUCCUGCCCUGGAAGUGCCUCGUGGUCGUGUCUCUCAGGCUGCUGUUCCUUGUACCCACAGGAGUGCCCGUGCGCAGCGGAGAUGCCACCUUCCCCAAAGCUAUGGACAACGUGACGGUCCGGCAGGGGGAGAGCGCCACCCUCAGGUGCACUAUUGACAACCGGGUCACCCGGGUGGCCUGGCUAAACCGCAGCACCAUCCUCUAUGCUGGGAAUGACAAGUGGUGCCUGGAUCCUCGCGUGGUCCUUCUGAGCAACACCCAAACGCAGUACAGCAUCGAGAUCCAGAACGUGGAUGUGUAUGACGAGGGCCCUUACACCUGCUCGGUGCAGACAGACAACCACCCAAAGACCUCUAGGGUCCACCUCAUUGUGCAAGGUAGGUGGGCGUGGCUUGGCGGGGAGAUCUGGCUGGCCAGCCUGGAAAGCCGUCGGGUAAAGGUUUGUUCUCUGAUCCUCAACAGAGAUGAGUUAUCCUUAUUCUACGCAUCUAGGGUCCAGGGCGCAUUUCUGGUUGUCAUUUUGCAGUUAGAAGCUAAAUUUUCCAGUCAUUUUCAUUGAGUGGAACUAGGAAUUGUUUUUUUCAUUUUUGUUCCAAUAAUAUAUUUUCUCAGGAAAUUAUCUUGUAAUUAUUGCUCUUCUUGGCUUUUUUCUCCCCUAAGUUUUAGUUAGUUUUUUUGUUUGUUUUUUGUUUUGUUUUGUUUUUUAGAUUUCAUCCAAUUCCAAGACCGUGUUAUGUUUAAAACCAGACUUUUAAUGCACUUUUGGAAGUACAUGUAUGCC